CCAGGGGGCCGGACGGCCGCCGGCGGAACGCCUUCGGGCGGGCCGCGGGAGGAAAGUCCGAACUCCUCCGGACAGGGCGCCGGCUAACGGCCGGGCGGCGCGAGCCGACGGAAAGUGCCACAGAAACAUACCGCCGUCGCGGGCCUCGGCUCCGGCGGUAAGGGUGAAAUGGUGCGGUAAGAGCGCACCGGCGUCCCGGAGACGGGGCGGCCGGGCAAACCCCACCCGGAGCAAGGCCAAAUAGGGGAGCGUUCGGGGCGUCCGGCUCCGCUCCCGGGUAGGCCGCUGGAGACGGCGGGCAACCGCCGUCCUAGAUGGAUGGCCGUCGCCGCCCUCGGGGCGGUACAGAAUUCGGCUUACAGGCCCCCUGGCCCC
rnacentral:RNase_P_RNA from 1 species